rnacentral:tRNA from 1 species
GGGCGUUUAGCUUAGUGGUAGAGCGUCUCGUUUACACCGAGAAGGUCGGGGGUUCAAUCCCCUCAACGCCCACAA